AGUCACUGACAUUAGAUACCCCCGUAGUCCAGGGUGUAAACGCUGCAGACUUGGUGUUGGAGGCCCUUUGGGGGCAUUCAGUGCCGGAGAGAAGUUGUUAAGUCUGCUACUUGGGGAGUACGUCCGCAAGGAUGAAACUUAAAGGAAUUGGCGGGGGAGCACCACAACGGGUGGAGCCUGCGGUUUAAUUGGACUCAACGCCGGAAAUCUCACCGGAUAGGACAGACAUAUGAUAGUCGGGCUGAAGACUCUACUUGAUGAUCUG
rnacentral:rRNA from 1 species